ACCUAUGCAGGGGAAUAACCUCGGGAAACUGAGUAUAAUGCCCCAUAGUCCACUACGCCUGGAACGGUGAGUGGAUCAAAGCUCAGGCGGCAUAGGAUGGGCCUGCGGCGUAUCAGGUUGUAGGGGGUGUAAAGUACCCUCUAGCCAUCUACGCGUACGGGUGUUGGGAGACAUAGCCCGGAGAUGGAUUCUGAGACACGAAUCCAGACCCUACGGGGUGCAGCAGGCGCGAAAACUUCACACUGCAGGAAACUGUGAUGAGGGAACUCCAAGUGCUAUCACUAUGUGGUAGCUUUUCUUGACUAUUAAUCGGUCAUGGAAUAAGGGCUGGGAAAGACCGGUGCCAGCCGCCGCGGUAAUACCGGCAGCUCAAGUGGUCGUCGCUUUUAUUGGGCCUAAAACGUCCGUAGCCUGUUUGGUAAAUCUGUGGGUAAAUCAACCAGCUUAACUGGUUGAAUUCUGCAGAGACUGCCAGACUAGGGACCGGGAGAGGUGUGGGGUACUCUAGGGGUAGGGGUAAAAUCCUGUCAUCCUUAGAGGACCACCAGUUGCGAAGGCGCCACACUGGAACGGAUCCGACGGUCAGGGACGAAGCCUAGGGGCACGAACCGGAUUAGAUACCCGGGUAGUCCUAGGUGUAAACGCUGUG
rnacentral:rRNA from 1 species